UUAAUAACACUAAUAAUUAAUAUUAGUAGUGAUAUAGGAGCACAUCCUAGCGGGAGAAAAUGUGUGACCAAGAGGUGGUGUUUGAGGUUACUGAGGAACAAAACAAGCUUCAGUUUCUCAGUCUUUCUAUGUUCACACAGAAACAGGAGCCUCUUAAUGUUCAUUGCCUUUCCCCUCAAGAUAUUCCAAAAAUCAGUGACAACCACAUCUUGUACUAUGUGUAUUCUGGUAAAAUUCUAUCCAUAAAUUACUGAGCAGAAAGAGACAGUUUCACAGGGCCUGCAUGGCAACAUCUGAAGGAAAACAGAAGGCAGCGGUAGUACCCUAGAUACAGAGUAGGGCCUGCUCCCCACCACACUCUCCAAGGCAGCAGCCUAGACAGGUGCAAAUACUGUGCUGAGAGCCUGAGCUCCUGGAGAGCCUGGGCCACACUCUCACUCUGCCCCUGUGACACCUCAGUCAUGCUCCCUCUCUGGGCUCAGUUUCCUCCUCUGCAAACUGAAGCACUGCACUAGCUGAGCUUGGCUGUGCCAAAGAGCCCAAAGACCUUGAUACUUAAGUUCAUCUGCAUCUUUUUGCAGCCUGAUGCUUGCUUCACUGCCCACAUUCAGGCCUCAUGUAUGAAUUAACCAUGCUCCUCUCUGGGUGCUGGCAAUGAGGGAAAAUAAAGUGUCAUGGUUUCACUUUUUAUAAUAGAUCUGACAGCCCUUCGGAAACCUCACCAUAAAAAGAAACCAGCUGUUGCCAGAGGAUUUGCCAGUUUGGGGAAUGGCAUCAUCAGCACCCCAGGUGUUAACCCGCAGGCCUCCUCACCUGUGGGAAAACUACAGGGGUUCUCUCAAGGGAGCUUCAACUUCUCUAAGGCUGACAGGGCCAGGGAGCAGGCCAGCCAUGAGACAGAAGCUAAGGGGCAGCUGCAACCACAAAAACAGCCCUUCAACCUGGGAGGCUACUCUUGGAACAAAGCUCCAACCACAAACACCCCAGAGGGCAUCGGAGAAGGGGUAAGACUCAGGACAUCAAGUCGUGUGCAUUAGCCAAAAAGGAGUGCAAUCUUUCUCAGUCACAAAAAGGAACCCACGGCCAAAUCCAAACACACACAGCCAAGGUGCUUAUUCACUCAUGGCAGUAGUCUUGUCCCUUAUUGACUCCUCUGUAAAGAGGUCUCUACAACAUUCAAGAGGAAACUGGCAGAAGUGAGGUCUCGGGGAUAACAGAGAGCCAUGCAGGGUUGAACACUCACUGCAGGCACCCACCUCUUUGACCUGUCUUCUAGACCCAAACUGAAAAGCCAUCCUCAAUUCACUCAGAGCUCUUUCCCCACGCUCUCCCACCUGCUCCAAAAGCUUGAGAAAAAAGUUAAUCCAGUCUCUGUGCUGAUGAAUCAAAUAGAGACACACUCAUAUCCUGCUUCUUCCUUUUUAUCUUUAACCUAAACCAAAGCAUCCUCAUCCCGUCCACGGCACCUGCUUAAUUACCAAGCAGAGCGACACAGCCAGAGCACACCCUGGUAACAGAAAUGGGCACAAGAUACAUCUCUGGAGGCUUCCCAUCAAGCCAAUCCCUCACAUGAAAGCCCUGAUGCAAUGCUCUCAUUUGGCACUUUACCCUUUCUGCUUCCAAAAAGGAUGUGGAGUAACCUACUGCUGCAGAUGUCACAGGCUUCUACUAUGUAUCUUCCCAUAAAGGGAAACUGCUGAUAGGGUAUGGCAGACACACCUUACUCCUUAUUCAGUGGAAUGUUUCUAAAAUGAUGCCAGAGCCCCAGUCCAGACCAAAUAAAUCAGAAUCUCUGGCACUAGGUCCCAGACAUAUUUUUUAAAAGCUCCCCAAGGCAUUCUAAUGUGCAGCCAGGGGUGGCACUCACUGGGCUAAGGCCUUGCAGUGGGGACUUUGGCCUCCAACUUCAACCCACUAAGCUAAAAGUACAGUGACAUUCAGCACCAAAGAGAAUUUGGUAUAACUAUAAAGGGAGACAGAAAAAGCUUCCCCUCUUCAAAAGGAUGAAUAAUACUCUGACAUGGAUAUUUUAAAUGGGAGCUGAAGAGCAGAGAACUAGCUUCUUUACUGAGUGCCCAAAACCACUGGGUUUUGCCUCUUAAAUGCUGACUUCAUUUCAAUCAAGACCUACACUGUACGAGACACGGAAGGAGGGAAUAGCAAAGUGUAAAACAAGGCAUCUCAUCUUACGUGUGUAGAACUUCCAAGGACAAGCUGGGAGCAUCAAGCAGUUAACAUUAAGGCAGGAUCUCCAGGUGCUGUGAUAGAGGGGAGGGCAGGGAGCUGGAGGUCAGUCAGCCCAGACUGGGUCCCCGGGAGGCUUCAGGCUCCAUCUCCUCUGGGCUUCUAGCCAUGCUCAGAUAUUCUCACAGGUGCUGCAAGGACUCAAUUCCCAGACUCUUUCCUGUGUGACUCGCUCCACCCUGCUGGCCAAUUGCCAGCCAGCUCUAAAAUGCCUAAGUGAGGGGACACAAGGGGCCUCUUGCUGCCCAUGAAGUUGCAGCUAUAUUCAUUUCUCUUCCAAAUUAACAUCCUACUGCUCCAUAAUAAAGCUGUCAGCUCUCAACAAUGGACCCACGCUAAGAAAGGUGGCCAAGGCUGUUCUGGUAGAGGGCACAGCUGCUUUAUGCCAAGGGUGGGAGGCCCAGGGUGGGACCUUUCCCUCCCACAAUGACAGCCGGAUUUCCUAUUACCAGAAUGUUCUCAAACGCCCCUCCUUGCCUGGCCAUCUUCCUUCACUGUACAUUUACCGCUUGGCCAAUGCAAUUGGGGCUGAAAUGCAAUUAGUCCCUGCUCCAGCCACAUUUUUUUUUCCCCCAAAGAAUGAAUCUGAUAGACCCACAGCAUCCAGAGGAGAGUGCCACUCUGAAUGCUAAUUGCCCCCACAAGUUCUGCAGAGGGCGCGGGAGAUGCUGGCCCGCACAGCAUGGGCACUCUAGGAUUCAGAAACCCUACCUGGUGUUAUCAGCAGCAACUCGAUGCAAGGACUGCCCUCCCAGUCUCGACAGCAGUAGCCAGAGACCCUCAAAUUUCCUCCAGGGUAACAUAAGGCUGGCAGCUGGCGUCGCAGUGGUCACGGGAGAGAGGUGAACAAGGCUGCCUGCAGACAGUGCGCAGCUUUGCUCUGUUCCACUCCACUGAGGGGAAGCGACAGCAGGUGAGGAUUUAAAAUGCAGCAGAUGAGAUUUAGGUUAGAUUCACAGAUGAACUUCCUGACAGAGAGAGAAGCACUGGAAAGGCUGACCCAGUACUUAAAUUUCACUGGCAAACCACAAGAGGCUGAUUGUACUGUCCGCCAGGAAGCAAGUGAGCAGCAAGGAGGCAGCCUUCUGUGCACAAUGGUCAGAAGCAGGGACCUCACCCAAGCUGGCCUGCAGCCGCCUCACCACACCAUAACUUUUUUGCUUUUUAAUAUAAGGUAAAUAGAAGAGUCCACCAAAAUACACUUUUAAAUGUGCUUAUUCUUUGAUCUAGGAAUCCCAGUUCCAGGAAUUUAAGAAAAUCGUUCUUUAAAAAGUGAAAUAUUUUUAUGUAUUUUAGGAGAAAAGUAGAAGCAAUCUAAAUGCCUAACUAUGGAACAGGGAAUGAUUAAGAAUAUUAUGGCAUGUGUGCACCACAGACUGUUAUGUACCAAAUAAAAAUGUUCUUAAGGAAUAUGUAAUGAUCUGGGAAAUACACAUGAUAUCGUAAGUGCAUAAAGCAUAUUUAAAAAAAAAGCUUAUGUGCAUUUGAAAAAAGAAGAAAGGGAAAUUUACCAAAACGUUAGCAGUAAUCACCCCUGGACUUAGAAGUAGACAUUUUUUUCUUUCUUGAUACUUUCCCAAUAUUCUAAAAUAAGCACAUUAUUUGAAUAAUUAGAAAACAUCGACAUUUAAAGUGGGAAAAAAAAAUCAGUCUCAUCUGUGACGUACCUCAGCGCCAUAAAUCUAUUUCAUCGGCACAGCCAUUAUUCCCAGAAAGCAAACCGGUGACACUCAAUCUCGUACUUGGCAAGACAAACAUUCUCGCUUCCAAAAUGGCCCUGCGUACCCACUGCAGCCACCAGAAAAACACUGAUCAGCAUCUCCUUCCAGGAAGCACAGGGUCUUCCCCCUCAAUAAUUCAUGGGGGUCUCAUUCUAUGGCCAGACCUUCCUUCACAUCCAACUACAAUGUGCCUAAGUGAGUCUGAAAGGCAAGGGAGAAAUGUGGAAUCCUGCAAAGAAUUGGGACUUAUUGGAUUAACCCCGGGAAAUACUAAAGUGAUCUAGAGUUCACCACUAUUUAUCAAUGUCCACUGCAUACCAGGAAAGGGACAGGAUGCUUUCACAUGCUCUGCAACAUGGGAAUCAUUAGCCCUGUUUUACAUAUGAGAAAAUGGAGGUUACGGAACUCCAGCCAACUUGCCUCAAAUCACACAGAUGGUUAAGUGGCAGGGCUGGGACUAAAUGCUUGUCACUUGACCCCAAGACAAGAAAGGUUUUUCUCCUCAGCAGCCUCCAGCAUUCAUGUCUUUGGAGAAAACAUGAUGCAGGCCACACCUCUCUCUCCUAGACUUAUACCCCACUCCCAGUGCCCUGAGACAGGCCACUCUGCUGUUUCUUGCCCACUUUCUAUCUCCACCACUACCCACAGAUGCAAAUAUAAUAGCCCCAUGUGGACACCUCAAUGAUCCCCUGUGGCCGAAUUCCCCAACCCACCUCAAUGACCCUUAAGGGGAUGGGGUUCACUAUCAAGGCCCUCUCCAGAGGUGUCUGAGACACGUUGCCUUCAGGCAACAUUGCCCUGAACUCACAACAUCUCUGAGGCAGGCUGGCCUCUUAUCUCCUUUUACAGACAGGAAAACAGAUUGGUAAGUAGGUUGACCUGCUCUAAGUCUAAUAAGAAGCAGACCUAGGACUAGAACUCAGGUCCUCUCAUAUCUGGCCAAGUGGACUUUUUUAUUUUUA
rnacentral:lncRNA from 10 species